rnacentral:rRNA from 1 species
GACGAACGCUGGCGGCGUGCCUAAUACAUGCAAGUCGAACGCUGGCGGGACGGGUGAGUAACACGUGGCUAACCUCCCAUCAGAGGAGAUAACACUUGGAAACAGGUGCUAAACCGAUACUGAUGGAUGGACCCGCGGUUCAUCAGCUAGUUGGUGAGGUAACGGCUCACCUAGGCAACGAUGCAUAGGCGACCUGAGAGGGGGAUUGGCCACACGGGGACUGAGAGACGGCCCAGACUCCUACGGGAGGCAGCAGUAGGGAAUCUUCGGCAAGGGACGAAAGUCUGACCGAGCAACGCCGCGUGAGUGAAGAAGGUUUUCGGAUCGUAAAACUCUGUGGUUAGAGAAGCGGUAUCUAACCAGAAAGCCACGGCUAACAACGUGCCAGCCGCCGCGGUAAUUC